AAAAAAAGAAUUAAUCACAGUGAGGGAACCAGAAGGUUAUCAGUGUUUAGGAUUGAAAAAUAUCGGAAUAAACUACUCGAAUUGAGUCGACAAUUCUUCAGUAAGAUUAUCUGAAGGUAGUGUGUUACGAGUACGAGUCGUUGACUCGCCCCUAUCUUCCAAUAAUUACGAAUAAAAUUGUUUUGAUGCAUUUCCUUACAAUUUAUAUGCAUAUAAAAUUUUAUAUACGAUAUACUUAUCGUAAGUAAACCUCAUAAAAGUAAGCCUCGCGUCUUCUGCAGUCAAAUGAAACGUAAUCGCAAACUAUCUCACACUAUCUUGCGUAAUAAAUGUCUUACAAGGAAGAAUAUAUACCAAUGUUUGCCCGUAGUCGAGAUGAGGUGUUUUAUACGUAGGAAAACUGCCAAGUAGUCUCACUACUCCAAUAAUUGAGAACAAUAUUAAAAACAUGUGUUUUCUAAAUGAAACCAAUUUUAAUAUCAUACAUUUAAUAUCGAAUAUUACAAUAUUUUCUAUAUAAUAGUUUAGACGAACCAAAAUCUGUUUUUAUACAACAUUCUCUGAAAUAAACUAUUUACUUUCGAUUUAUUAUAAUUAUA